AACGAACGUUGGCGGCAGGCUUAACACAUGCAAGUCGAGCGCUCACUUCGGUGGGAGCGGCAGACGGGUGAGUAACGCGUGGGAACCUACCUAGUAGUACGGAAUAACAGUUGGAAACGACUGCUAAUACCGUAUACGCCCCUUGGGGGAAAGAUUUAUCGCUAUUAGAUGGGCCCGCGUUGGAUUAGCUAGUUGGUGGGUAAAGCCUACCAAGGCGACGAUCUAUAGCUGGUCUGAGAGGAUGAUCAGCCACACUGGGACUGAGACACGGCCCAGACUCCUACGGGAGGCAGCAGUGGGGAAUAUUGGACAAUGGCGAAAGCCUGAUCCAGCCAUGCCGCGUGAGUGAUGAAGGCCUU
rnacentral:rRNA from 1 species